GGGCGAGGGCGGGCGAUGGAAAAUGGCGGCCAGAGGGAGGCGCCCGCGCUGAGCACCGCAACAAGGUGAUGAUGGUGCCUCCUCCCUACCCAUCGCUCCCCCACAAUGUCCCAGCAGAGCGAGUCUGGGAGCUGAGGAUGUCAGGAGAGGAGCCCACCACCAUGCCUGGCCAACGUGCAGGGGGGAACGGGCAGGAGACCGAUGCCCCAGCACUGCCGAGGUUUGGAGGCGAGCAGCUGCCAGCCCCGGGAAACCUGAAUAAUCAAUAAAAAGCUUUUAAAAAGCAGGAAACACCAGGAGAUCAACAGCCUUCCCUCCGGCAGAAACGUGCAACCAACACAAGGUGCUUUACAAGGUACCCAGGGAGGGCUCGUGCUGAGCAUCCCCACCCACACUCCUGCCAGCCAGCUCCCCGCCUCCCACAAGUGCUAGAAAAGCAAGCUAUUCUUUCCCCCCAAAAAGAAAGCAUUUUUAUGAUAUAGAUAAAUCUAUUUUAUAUAACUUCAGCUGUAAUAGAGAGAACUCUGUAGAAAGACCACGUGCACAGACACACGCUGAAUAACAUUUUUUCCCUUCCUUAUAAUUCUUGCCCCAUGCUUACUCAACUCACACGCUGGCAAAAUAAAAUAAAAUAAUAUAAAAUAAA